AAUUGCUGUACAGCCUUAUAUAGGACGAUACAUGUGAGAGAGAUUUGAAAAACCCUCAUCUGAACAGCACAGAGCAACACAGCAGACAAACAUCAUGCCACGUGACAUGGAAAAAGCGAAGAGCGUCUAUGUCCAGAGUUGUACUUCAUGCCACAACGGAUCUGCUAUACAGGACAUGAUGAAGAACAACAAAUUACAAGCAACUUGCCCCCAGCAACUUCCCGGAGCCUCGUUUUUCCCAUCGGGGCUUGCCUUCCAGUCGACUGGUUCAAGGGAGAUAACUAAAGCUCAAUGACCGCUUCAGUGACAGAUGCACGCCAUGUAGGGUCUUUCCUUGUGAAAUAAGAUAAAAUAAUACGAAAUAUA
rnacentral:lncRNA from 1 species